rnacentral:tRNA from 1 species
GGGCCUGUAGCUCACCUGGUAGAGCGCUACAUUCGCAUUGUAGAGGUAGUCGGUUCGAGUCCGAUCAGGUCCA